GACGAACGCUGGCGGCGUGCUUAACACAUGCAAGUCGAACGCUGAUGCUCAGCUUUUGUUGGGUGGAUGAGUGGCGAACGGGUGAGUAACACGUGAGUAACCUGCCCCCUUCUUUGGGAUAACGCCCGGAAACGGGUGCUAAUACUGGAUAUUCACUGGUCUUCGCAUGGGGGUUGGUGGAAAGGGUUUUUCUGGUGGGGGAUGGGCUCGCGGCCUAUCAGCUUGUUGGUGGGGUGAUGGCCUACCAAGGCGUUGACGGGUAGCCGGCCUGAGAGGGUGACCGGUCACAUUGGGACUGAGAUACGGCCCAGACUCCUACGGGAGGCAGCAGUGGGGAAUAUUGCACAAUGGGCGCAAGCCUGAUGCAGCGACGCCGCGUGAGGGAUGGAGGCCGUCGGGUUGUGAACCUCUUUCGCACAUGGUCAAGCCGCAACAAUGGUUGUGGUGAGGGUAGUGGGUAAAGAAGCGCCGGCUAACUACGUG
rnacentral:rRNA from 1 species